GACUCAAUGGUUUAAUGGUAAAGCAUUCGCCUCGGGACCAGAAGAUCCAGGGUUCAAUUUCCGGUGGUAUUG
rnacentral:tRNA from 1 species